AUUGAACGCUGGCGGCAGGCCUAACACAUGCAAGUCGAGCGGAGCGGCGGACGGGUGAGUAAUGCCUAGAAAUCUGCCUGUUCGUGGGGGAUAACGUCCGGAAACGGGCGCUAAUACCGCAUACUAUCAGAUGAGCCUAGGUCGGAUUAGCUGGUUGGUGUGGUAAAGGCCUACCAAGGCUACGAUCCGUAUCUGAGCUGAGAGGAUGAUCAGUCACACUGUAACUGAGACACGGUCCAGACUCCUACGGGAGGCAGCAGUGGGGAAUAUUGGACAAUGGGCGAAAUCCUGAUCCAGCCAUGCCGCGUGUGUGAAGAAGGUCUUCGGAUUGUAAAGCACUUUAAGUUGGGAGGCGUUACCAACAGAAUAAGCACCGGCUAACUUCGUGCCAGCAGCCGCGGUAAUUC
rnacentral:rRNA from 1 species